rnacentral:rRNA from 1 species
CCUACGGGUGGCUGCAGUGAGGGAUUUUGCGCAAUGGACGAAAGUCUGACGCAGCGACGCCGCGUGAGUGAUGAAGGCCUUCGGGUUGUAAAGCUCUGUCGGGAGGGACGAGUAGGGACGGUACCUCCAGAGGAAGCCUCGGCUAACUACGUGCCAGCAGCCGCGGUAAGACGUAGGGGGCAAGCGUUGUCCGGAAUUAUUGGGCGUAAAGAGCUCGUAGGUGGGAUUAUAAGUCAGCAAGUAAAUAUCUCGGCUCAACUGAGAUCUCAUUGUUGAUACUGUAAGUCUUGAGGACAGGAGAGGAAAGUGGAAUUCCCGGUGUAGCGGUGAAAUGCGUAGAGAUCGGGAGGAACACCAGUGGCGAAGGCGGCUUUCUGGCCUGAUUCUGACACUGAGGAGCGAAAGCUAGGGGAGCGAACGGGAUUAGAUACCCCUGUAGUC